rnacentral:rRNA from 1 species
UACGUAGGGGGCGAGCGUUGUUCGGAUUUAUUGGGCGUAAAGAGCUCGUAGGCGGUUUGGUAAGUUGGAUGUGAAAUCUCCAGGCUCAACUUGGAGGGGUCAUUCGAUACUGCCAUGACUAGAGUUCGGUAGGGGAGUGUGGAAUUCCUGGUGGAGCGGUGAAAUGCGCAGAUAUCAGGAGGAACACCCGUAGCGAAGGCGGCACUCUGGGCCGGAACUGACGCUGAGGAGCGAAAGCGUGGGGAGCGAACAGG